AAUAGCUACUUGCAUCAUUGUAAAUAUGAUGCAAGAUCGACUAUGUCGAAUAAAAUUCUAGGUAGAAUUAUGAUAAUGACAUUGUCUGCCUAUGUGUCUUGACCAAAUUACGUGCCAGCAGUCGCGGUAAUACGUAGAAGACUAGUGUUAUUCAUGUUUAAUCGGUUUAAAGGGUACCUAGACGGUAAAUCAAGCCUAAAAGGAAAGAAAUGAAGGGACUAAUUUACUAGAGUUACUUAUGAGGGGGUAUUAAAGUACUGCUGGUGUAGAGAUGAAAUUCUGUCAUACCUCUUUUCAAUAGAAAAAUAAUGGCACAGGUAUAGGCGAAAGCAUCCCCUUAUGUGAUAACUGACGUUGAGGGACGAAGGCUUUGUGUAGCGAACAGGAUUAGAUACCCCAGUAGUCAAAGCAGAAAAUGAUGAAUGUCAUAGAUUAGAUAUAUAAGUUUAUUCUAUAAAUGAAAGUGUAAGCAUUCCACCUCAAGAGUAAUUUGGCAACAUUGGAACUGAAAUCAUUAGACCGUUUCUGAAACCAGUAGUGAAGUAUGUUGUUUAAUUUGAUGAUCCGCAAAAAACCUUACCACAAUUUGAAUAUUUAUAUCUUAUAUUGUUUUUUUUUAACUUUAUUCUAAUUUUCUACUUAAAAGAAAACAAUAACAAUAAAAAAGAGACAAUAAGA
rnacentral:rRNA from 1 species